ensembl:lncRNA
GCUUCCUGUCUGAAGGAUCCCAAGGGAGAGGGAUCACUCGAAGGAAAAGAAAGCGGAACGAUCUCUCUCUUCCUACAACACGCAGAGUCGCUCACCUUCCCGGCAUCAGCCUCCCAACUGCACACACACACACACACACACACACACACACACAAAAGGCCCCCUUCACAUGGCAGGGGGGAGAAGGCAGAUUUUGAGUUACAAGCGGGAGCUGCCGAGCCGCCUUCCCGACUCGAUCUCUCGGCAACCCGGUCUUCUGUUUCCAGGAGGGGCAGACCAGAGUUCCCUCGGGGGCGUAAACAAGGAAAGUCACCGCUGGGAUCCCCUCGUUUGUUUCCCUAUAUCGCCUUGUUUUUUUUCUGUCCCCCUCCCGGCCGGCGUUCUGGGCUGGGAAGAGAAUUGGGAGGCGGGACAAGCGGAGCUCCCUCCAAAGUUUUUGAAGCGCCUCGCCAAAACAUCCCAUUGGAGAUUGGACCGCCGCGGCGGCUCGCCUCGCUCGCUCCUGCGCACACGGGAGCGCCCGCUGUGCGGCGAGGAUGCUGGGGCUAUGGGAUUGACCAAAAAGCUGAGAACUUCAGAAAGAAAUUCCAGCACUUGUCAAACCCUCCACCACCCCACCAUCACCACCCAAAAAGAAAAUGAGAAAAAGAGGAAGGGAGCUCUUAUAAAAGCCAUCAAUAUCGUGUUGCUGUUGUUCCGGUUUCUUUAACUUUAAACCCUGUUGCCAUCCUUAAUGUUUCUAUUUGCACGAAAGACUUGCUUUUCCGCUCACAAGCACGGGGAUAGCAGGGCUGGUCGGAGAUUUAUUCGGAAAAAAGGCAGAGAGCAUCCUCAACGUGGCGAUCCAAUGACGCGGUGGCCUUAAAACGAAGGGGGAGGGGGAGCGAGAGAGACAUCCACUUUGUAACCUGCUCUCACAGCAAAUCGAUAAUCAGUAAUGUUCCUGUUAUACGCUGAAGGGAGGAGGGGCACAGAUUUCAAUACACGCCUCCGCCUCCGCCUUCCGCCAGCGCCGGGCGAAUCCGAAAAGUUACAUCAUCAGAGCCGUUCUCGGUAAUUCAUACAACAGCCGUGAAUGUAACAGAAGUUCUCCAAAUACAACCUCGCGGUUGCGCCUCUGGUUUCUUGGAGCUACUUUUCCCACCUUGUUUUGUGAUGAAACCGUGUUUGCCUUUGCUUCUGAAACGUAUCUUUGCUUUUCAUAAGGUGGAUCAAGACAUUGUCUGCUUGCUCCUUUUGCUUUGGCUUUCCUUCUCCCAGUUCUCUGGUUUAAUGAGCAAAAGGCAAAAUUUUCGGACAGAAAAGACGUUUUCUUAGAUGAAUUGUCUCUGGAGAGAGGAGAGUACUUGUGAAUUUGGAAGCAGCAAAUAGCCCCUGUGCUGCGAGGUGAGCUGAAGUUUAAGCAACACCACGUUGUCUAGAAAUCUAUAUAAACUCCUUUCCUUACUACCAAAACUAUAUUUAAAUUAAAGCAUCAAGGCCCCUCUUUCAUCCUCCUCAUCUGCGCUUCUGUUUCAGAACUAGUUGUUGCUUCUUAUUACUGAAUCUAUGAACGCAUCCAUGGCAUUUCCUUGCAAGGAGCACCUUAGAGACUAACAGAGAGAGAAGCUGGUAGUGUCAGCUUUCAUAGACUAAGCCUACUACAUGCGUCUGAUGAAGUGGACUAGGGCUGCAUCCAGAUGCUAGAAAAGUUCAUGCCACCAACUUCUUUCUUUCUCUUAGUCACGCUGGCCAUUUUCGCACUUACUAUGCUAGCACAGACUAACUAGGCCUGCACGAUGUGACAGGUGUGAUCGGACAGGCACACUCAGCCAACGCGCAGGUACCAUCAGGUGAUAGUACUUGUGUGAUUGCAUUCUUGCACCAGCCUGGACACUUCAGCUCCAGGUAAGUGCGAACUCACCCUACCAGGAGGUGACCAUCACUUCCUGGUAGGGUUGUGGAGUAGUAAUUACUGCUCCACCAUUAGUAGAAAUCGUGAAAGGACGAAACCCACUGCCAGCCACUUGGGCCUCCAUCAAGUGUAGGAGUUGCAAGUGCAAAUAGGCCCUAAGCCUUGCUUACUGAUCCAGGCUAACACAUUAUUUCCUUGGCAGAGAAGGAGCCCAAUGGCUUCUUCAAGGAAGAUAACAGGGAUUGAACCUAUAACCUUCUGGUUUCCAGUCAGUCAUUCUCCUACUGUAGCCACUGUCUUCCAGCGCAUCAUAUAGAUAGUUCAAACUUACAGUAUUUCUAGUUCCUUUCCCCCCAUGUUUCUUCAGAAGCAUAUCAUCUGAAGUCACUCCAAAACUCCUGGCUUCUCACCACACCCCUGAGAGACAGAUUUCCCACCACACACCAUCUGAGAUUGAGAAGCAGUAGCACAAACUAUUUAUUCAAUAAAAUUAUUCUUGCUGGGUACCA